rnacentral:rRNA from 1 species
AGUCGAGGGGCAGCAUGGUCUUAGCUUGCUAAGGCCGAUGGCGACCGGCGCACGGGUGAGUAACACGUAUCCAACCUGCCGUCUACUCUUGGACAGCCUUCUGAAAGGAAGAUUAAUACAAGAUGGCAUCAUGAGUCCGCAUGUUCACAUGAUUAAAGGUAUUCCGGUAGACGAUGGGGAUGCGUUCCAUUAGAUAGUAGGCGGGGUAACGGCCCACCUAGUCUUCGAUGGAUAGGGGUUCUGAGAGGAAGGUCCCCCACAUUGGAACUGAGACACGGUCCAAACUCCUACGGGAGGCAGCAGUGAGGAAUAUUGGUCAAUGGGCGAGAGCCUGAACCAGCCAAGUAGCGUGAAGGAUGACUGCCCUAUGGGUUGUAAACUUCUUUUAUAAAGGAAUAAAGUCGGGUAUGGAUACCCGUUUGCAUGUACUUUAUGAAUAAGGAUCGGCUAACUCCGUGCCAGCAGCCGCGGUAAUACGGAGGAUCCGAGCGUUAUCCGGAUUUAUUGGGUUUAAAGGGAGCGUAGAUGGAUGUUUAAGUCAGUUGUGAAAGUUUGCGGCUCAACCGUAAAAUUGCAGUUGAUACUGGAUAUCUUGAGUGC